ensembl:piRNA 21ur-13776 ncRNA
UUUUUGACACGCUAUAAAAAU